rnacentral:rRNA from 1 species
GACGUAGGGGGCCAGCGUUGCUCGGAAUUACUGGGCGUAAAGGGUUCGUAGGCGGUGUGGCAAGUCGGUAGUGAAAUCUCCAGGCUUAACUUGGAGGCUGCUGCCGAAACUGCCGUGCUAGAGUGUGGGAGAGGCGAGUGGAAUUACAGGUGUAGCGGUGAAAUGCGUAGAUAUCUGUAGGAACACCCGUGGCGAAGGCGGCUCGCUGGACCACAACUGACGCUGAGGAACGAAAGCUAGGGGAGCAAACAGG